rnacentral:rRNA from 1 species
AUAACAAUACAGGACUCUUUCGAGGCCCUGUAAUUGGAAUGAGUACACAUUAAAUCCUUUAACAAGGAUCUAUUGGAGGGCAAGUCUGGUGCAGAGCGACUGACCCGUGCGUGCUGCAGCUGAAA